GAUGAACGCUUGCGGCGUGCCUAAUACAUGCAAGUCGAGCGAACGGACGAGAAGCUUGCUUUUCUGAUGUUAGCGGCGGACGGGUGAGUAACACGUGGAUAACCUACCUAUAAGACUGGGAUAACUUCGGGAAACCGGAGCUAAUACCGGAUAAUAUUUUGAACCGCAUGGUUCAAAAGUGAAAGACGGUCUUGCUGUCACUUAUAGAUGGAUCCGCGCUGCAUUAGCUAGUUGGUAAGGUAACGGCUUACCAAGGCAACGAUGCAUAGCCGACCUGAGAGGGUGAUCGGCCACACUGGAACUGAGACACGGUCCAGACUCCUACGGGAGGCAGCAGUAGGGAAUCUUCCGCAAUGGGCGAAAGCCUGACGGAGCAACGCCGCGUGAGUGAUGAAGGUCUUCGGAUCGUAAAACUCUGUUAUUAGGGAAGAACAUAUGUGUAAGUAACUGUGCACAUCUUGACGGUACCUAAUCAGAAAGCCACGCCUAACUACGUG
rnacentral:rRNA from 1 species